CGCGUAGGCGGUCGGGUUAGUGGAUGUGAAAGCCCAGGGCUUAACCUUGGAAUUGCAUUCGAUACUGCCCGGCUAGAGUAUGGGAGAGGGAAGCGGAAUUUCCGGUGUAGCGGUGAAAUGCGUAGAUAUCGGAAGGAACACCAGUGGCGAAGGCGGCUUCCUGGCCCAAUACUGACGCUCAGGUGCGAAAGCGUGGGGAGCGAACA
rnacentral:rRNA from 1 species